rnacentral:tRNA from 1 species
GGUCCCAUCGUCUAGUGGUUAGGACAACAGGUUUUCAUCCUGUAAACAGGGGUUCAAUUCCCCUUGGGACUACCA